rnacentral:rRNA from 1 species
UACGUAGGGGGCCAGCGUUGUUCGGAAUUACUGGGUGUAAAGGGUUCGUAGGCGGUGCGGCAAGUUGGGAGUGAAAUCUCUGGGCUUAACCCAGAGGCUGCUUUCAAAACUGCUGUGCUUGAGUGUGAGAGAGGCUCGUGGAAUUGCAGGUGUAGCGGUGAGAUGCGUAGAUAUCUGCAGGAACACCCGUGGCGAAAGCGGCGAGCUGGAUCACUACUGACGCUGAGGAACGAAAGCUAGGGGAGCAAACAGG